CGCCUCUUGCACUCACAGUAUAAGAGGUCCUGCCUGCCCCGUGACCACGUGUUCAACGGCCGCGGUAUUUUAACCGUGCAAAGGUAGCGCAAUCACUUGUCUUUUAAAUGAAGACCCGUAUGAAUGGCAAGACGAGGGCUUAACUGUCUCCCUCCCUAGGUCAAUGAAAUUGAUCUCCCCGUGCAGAAGCGGGGAUAAAAACAUAAGACGAGAAGACCCUGUGGAGCUUUAGACGAACAAGCAACCCUCGCUAAUAAUACUAAGUUAAGAUAAAUAAGCUCAUAGGAACUUGCUUGUGUGUUUUCAGUUGGGGCGACCGCGGGGUAGAGAGAAACCCCCGUGAAGAUUAGGAGUUACAAACUCUACAAGUAAGAGAGUCAUCUCUAGACACCAAAAUUUUUGACUUAUGAUCCGGUAUAACCGAUUGACGGACCGAGUUACCCCAGGGAUAACAGCGCAAUCCCCUUUAAGAGUCCUUAUCGACAAGGGGGUUUACGACCUCGAUGUUGGAUCAGGGUAUCCUAAUGGUGAAGCCGCUAUUAANNNNUCGUUYG
rnacentral:rRNA from 1 species